UCUCAGCCAGUCUCAUCUAUGUCCAGUCCAC
rnacentral:piRNA from 1 species